GAUGAUCAUAGUAAUGAGAGAUGUUUGGUGGAGGUGGCGAGGACUAUCGAAAUUUCUUAUUUGAAAUCUGCAUCUUCAUCCAUGCUAAAAGAUGAAUCUACCAAUGAUCGUAUGG